UGGGUCUCUCCCUCCAGUUCUGUCGGCCCAGAGAGGCAUAAUGGAUCGUCUCCUCCGGCAGGGACGGACUCCCGUAAACCUCAUACUCUGCAGAGAGACAGCCACAUCUGACAGACACAACAGGAAGAGCACAAAUAUUAUUGAUAUUCUGUACAACAGAUCAUCCGCUUCCUGCCUUCGGAGCAGGAUCCCUCAUCUGUCUCCACUUACUGAGUUUUUCCCCGUAAAAGUUUUUUUUGAGGAGUCUUUCCUCGUCUGAAUGGAGGGUCUAUGUAUCCGGUAUGAAAAUUUAAAUUUAUGAUAUUGGGCUAUAAGUAAAUAUUGACUUGACUUGA